UACGUAGGGACCAAGCGUUGUUCGGAUUUACUGGGCGUAAAGGGCGCGUAGGCGGCAAUUCAAGUCAUCUGUGAAAUCUCCGGGCUUAACUCGGAACGGUCAGAUGAUACUGCUUUGCUAGAGUGCAGAAGGGGCAAUCGGAAUUCUUGGUGUAGCGGUGAAAUGCGUAGAUAUCAAGAGGAACACCUGAGGUGAAGACGGGUUGCUGGGCUGACACUGACGCUGAGGCGCGAAAGCCAGGGGAGCAAACAGG
rnacentral:rRNA from 1 species